GUAAACCUCUUUCAGCAGGGAAGAAGCGAAAGUGACGGUACCUGCAGAAGAAGCGCCGGCUAACUACGUGCCAGCAGCCGCGGUAAUACGUAGGGCGCGAGCGUUGUCCGGAAUUAUUGGGCGUAAAGAGCUCGUAGGCGGCUUGUCGCGUCGGUUGUGAAAGCCCGGGGCUUAACCCCGGGUCUGCAGUCGAUACGGGCAGGCUAGAGUUCGGUAGGGGAGAUCGGAAUUCCUGGUGUAGCGGUGAAAUGCGCAGAUAUCAGGAGGAACACCGGUGGCGAAGGCGGAUCUCUGGGCCGAUACUGACGCUGAGGAGCGAAAGCGUGGGGAGCGAACAGGAUUAGAUACCCUGGUAGUCCACGCCGUAAACGAUGGGCACUAGGUGUGGGCGACAUUCCACGUCGUCCGUGCCGCAGCUAACGCAUUAAGUGCCCCGCCUGGGGAGUACGGCCGCAGGGCUAAAACUCAAAGGAAUUGACGGGGGCCCGCACAAGCGGCGGAGCAUGUGGCUUAAUUCGACGCAACGCGAAGAACCUUACCAAGGCUUGACAUACACCGGAAAGCAUCAGAGAUGGUGCCCCCCUUGUGGUCGGUGUACAGGUGGUGCAUGGCUGUCGUCA
rnacentral:rRNA from 1 species